rnacentral:rRNA from 1 species
AUUGAACGCUGGCGGCAUGCCUUACACAUGCAAGUCGAACGGUAACGGGCCUUCGUGUGCCGACGCGUGGCUAGCGGGUGAGUAAUACAUCCGAACGUGCCCGACCGUGGGGGAUAAGGUGACGAAAGCUUUCCUAAUACCGCAUACGAUCUACGGAUGAGAGCAGUGGUGCGCAAGGCCAUGCGCGGGCGGAGCGGCCGAUGGUCGCUGAGGUUGUUGGUGGGAUAAGAGCUUACCAAGACGAAGAUCUGUAGCUGGUCGGUGAGGAUGAUCAUCCACACUGGGAGUGAGACACGGCCCAGACGACUACGGGAGGCAGCAGUGGGGAAUGUGAGACAAUGGGGGCAAGCAUGACACAGCGAGGCCGCGUGCAGGAUGACGGCCUUCGGGUUGUAAACUGCUCUUGUGCGGAACGAAAAGCCUUCGUUUAAUACAGGGGGUUCAUGACGGUACCGUAAGAAUAAGCACCGGCUAACUACGUG